rnacentral:rRNA from 1 species
AGAGUUUGAUCCUGGCUCAGAACGAACGCUGGCGGCGUGCUUAACACAUGCAAGUCGAACGAGAAAGAGUUCCCUCGGGAACUUGAGUAGAGUGGCGCACGGGUGAGUAACACGUAGAUAAUCUACCCUUAUAUAUGGAAUAACUGGGCGAAAGCUCAGCUAAUACCGUAUACGCUUUUCCGGUCGCGAGACCGGGUGAGGAAAGGUGGCCUCUGAUUCAAGCUAUCGUAUAAGGAUGAGUCUGCGUACCAUUAGCUAGUAGGUGGGGUAAUAGCCCACCUAGGCGACGAUGGUUAGCGGGUCUGAGAGGAUGAUCCGCCACACUGGAACUGGAACACGGACCAGACUCCUACGGGAGGCAGCAGUGAGGAAUUUUGCGCAAUGGGGGUAACCCUGACGCAGCGACGCCGCGUGGGUGAUGAAGGCUUUCGAGUCGUAAAGCCCUGUCAAGUGGGAAGAACCGUCAAUAUGCUAAUACCAUGUUGAUCUGACGGUACCACUAAAGGAAGCACCGGCUAACUCCGUGCCAGCAGCCGCGGUAAUACGGAGGGUGCAAGCGUUGUUCGGAUUCACUGGGUUUAAAGGGUGUGUAGGCGGGGUAUUAAGUCAGUGGUGAAAGCCUACAGCUUAACUGUAGAACUGCCAUUGAAACUGAUAUUCUUGAGUACAAUUGAAGUAGGCGGAACGUGUGGUGUAGCGGUGAAAUGCUUAGAGAUCACACAGAACACCGAUUGCGAAGGCAGCUUGCUAAAUUGUAACUGACGCUGAGACACGAAAGCGUGGGGAUCAAACAGGAUUAGAUACCCUGGUAGUCC